GACGAACGCUGGCGGCGUGCUUAACACAUGCAAGUCGAACGGAAAGGCCCUGCUUUUGUGGGGUGCUCGAGUGGCGAACGGGUGAGUAACACGUGAGUAGCCUGCCCUUGACUUUGGGAUAACUUCAGGAAACUGGGGCUAAUACCGGAUAGGAGCUCCUGCUGCAUGGUGGGGGUUGGAAAGUUUCGGCGGUUGGGGAUGGACUCGCGGCUUAUCAGCUUGUUGGUGGGGUAGUGGCUUACCAAGGCUUUGACGGGUAGCCGGCCUGAGAGGGUGACCGGCCACAUUGGGACUGAGAUACGGCCCAGACUCCUACGGGAGGCAGCAGUGGGGAAUAUUGCACAAUGGGCGGAAGCCUGAUGCAGCAACGCCGCGUGCGGGAUGACGGCCUUCGGGUUGUAAACCGCUUUCGCCUGUGACGAAGCGUGAGUGACGGUAAUGGGUAAAGAAGCACCGACUAACUACGUG
rnacentral:rRNA from 1 species